UUUUCCCGUUGCAAUCUAUUUCAUAUAAUAAAAUUAGGGCUCCCCAACUUCAUCCCAUUCCGUCACUCUCUCUCGCUAGGGCCCUUACUCCGACUUCCUCCUCAUCAGUUCUCUCCCGCCGGCGAUUGGCCAAGUCGCCGUCCAUCCCACCGUCCCUUCUUUCCGCUCUCUCUCUCCCACAUGAAUUGAUUUGACUGGAGAAUUUUGUUAAUCUUGGAGACAAUUGCGCAAAAGCAACCCGUGAGAAAAUUAAGAUUGUGGUCUUUGAAGAACAUCUUGAGGAUUUACGUAAAGAAGGUCGUUUGAAAUGGGAGAAAUGCAAAUUCCAGUCUUAUCAAGCGUGAGAUCUAUUGUUGUUCUUAAUCUUCCUAACUAUGGAAGCGGAAGAAAUCCAUGGAGCAAGCUAAAGCCAGAUUAUCUAGAGAAGUAAGCGGUUGCACAACAACAGUGGAUAGGGAAAGAGCCCCCCCUCCUGGUUUUUUGGGAGAUCAAGGCAUAGUUACUUUUAUAUAAUACAUAUUCUGGUGGCUUCUGCGGCUCCUCUCAACUGAUGCCGAGGGGGUUUGUUCAGGCUUACCCCAAUGAUGAUUGUCUCGAAAAUUUUGGUCUUAAACAUGGAUGGCUUGCUUUGAUGGUUAUGGCUGAAGUAAUAUCCUCCAAACACAUAGAACAGAUGGUGCAAAGGUUGAAGAGGAGAAAUAUAUGCAGUACUUCUUUGAUGAUUGGUUUAGUUUCAUUGAUCAACAUCAACCUAAGGCUGUCAUAUUCUCCGAUGCUUGUCCGGACACAAGGUGGAUUGGGGACGAGGCUGCUGUCGCUGGAGUACCUGUUGGUCUCUCUUCAACCGCAUCAAUCAAUUACAUUAUUGGCAACACUGAUAUGGAUGCUCAAGUUGCAUAUAGUUUCCACCAUUUACGAAAUGAAAAACCUUACCUUGCUCAAGGUCCCAUUUCAAAUAAGGACUUCUGUAAUCAGGCAACACCAGGGCAGAAAGUGUAGAAAGAAACAAGGGAGGGUUGGAAUAAGAGCAAGAUGGGAAGAAAAGAAAAAAAAAGAGGAAGCAAAUAUGUGAAAAAAAAAGAAAAAUUGGUGGAACAGAUGUUGAAAAGCAGAAAAAGAAGAAAAAGAAGUGAAAAAAGAGAGGAAGUAGAUAUGAGGGAAAAAAAAAGAAAAAAUGGUGGAACAGAUCUAGAAAAAGAAAAAAACAUAGAGCAGUAUAGGCUAUUGGAGAAAGGGACGGGGAGCUUCGUGAUGGAGUAGGGGGAGGGGAAGACGACGAUUUUUCGAGGUUUCAACUUAAAGCACUACUGGACGAGAAAUCAAGAGAGGAAAAUGAGAAUGCAAACUUGACUAGGGAAAACCAGCUACCUGAAUCAGCUAGUGGAGUACCCUCACUUAACAGAUCCGAAAUCGCAUGAAAAUAAGAGUGUGUAUGCUGAAAGCUGCAAAGGAACUAGAUGGAUAAUGUCAGCUUGCUAUCCAAUUUUUCUUAUUCAUGAAAUUAAGAGGUACGAGAACUAUUGUAGUGAUCAGCAAAGUAUAUCAAUCAUCAUCAGGAAUCUAACCUGGAAAAAGUUGCAAAAGUUGAGGAAACUUCUCCCCAAAAGAGAGCUCUAAAGAUAAAAAAGAAAAUGGUCCAGAUUCGGGAAAAGCACCCAGUCUAUUAUUGAAGACAACGAGUAUAGUUCCGUCUAAGACUGUCCCUUAAAGAAUGGAUAUAUACACUAAGAAAUAUCAUCAGUUCAAAAGGAGGACAAGAGAAGGGUGAAUCUGGCCCUCCAUUGCGCAAAAGUCUUUCCAUGGUUCUCUUGUAUGGAUGCCCAAGUUGCAUACGGUUUCCACCAUUUACGCUAUGAAAAACCUUACCUUGCACAAGGUCCCAUUUCAAAUAAGUACUUUUGUAAUCAGGCAACACUAGGGCAUAAUGUGUAGAAAGAAACAUGGAAGGGUUGGAAAAGAAGAAAAAAAACAGAAAAACCAAGAAAAAAAGAGGAAGCAGAUAUGUGAAAAAAAAAGAAAAAAAAAUGGUGGAAGCAUAUAGGUGGAAAAAAAGCAAAAAAACAGAGAGCAAAAUCAAAGAAAGAGACGGGGAGCUUCGUGGUGGAGUAGUGGGAGGGGAAGACGGCGAUUUGGCGAGGCUUCGACUUAAAGCACUUCUGGAAGACAAAUCAAGACCGGAAAAUGAGAAUGAAAACUUGACUAGGGAAAACCAGCUACCAGAAUCAGCUAGUGGAGUACCCUCGCUUAACAGAUCCGAAAUCCAAUGAAAAUAAGAGUGUGUAUGCUGAACGCUGCAAAGGAACUAGAGGGAUAAUGUCAGCUUGCUAUCCAAUUUUUUUCUUAUUCAUGAAAUUAAGAGGUACAAGGACUAUUAGAGUGAUCAGCAAAGUAUAUCAAUCAUCAAUAUGAAUCUAACUGGAAAAAGUCUAGUAAUCAAGAUAACAAGUAUAGUUCUGUCUAAGACUGUCCCUGAAAGACCAUAGUGCCAUUGUUUUGAAGACUGAAAGUGCUACUGACAAGGCAGAAUGGAUAAAUACAGUAAGAAAUAUCGUCAGCUCAAAAGGAGGUCUUGUGAAGGGUGAAUCUGGCCAUCUAUUGCGCCGAAGUCUUUCCGAUUGUUCUCUUACAAUCUGACAAGAUACUAUAUGUGAUGAAGGUACGGAUGCCCAAGUUGCAUACGGUUUCCACCAUUUACGCAAUGAAAGACCUUACCUUGCACAAGGUCCCAUUUCAAAUAAGCAGUACUUUUGUAAUCAGGCAACACUAGGGCAUAAUGUGUAGAAAGAAACAUGGAAGGGUUGGAAAAGAAGAAAAAAAACAGAAAAACCAAGAAAAAAAGAGGAAGCAGAUAUGUGAAAAAAAAAGAAAAAAAAAUGGUGGAAGCAUAUAGGUGGAAAAAAAGCAAAAAAACAGAGAGCAAAAUCAAAGAAAGAGACGGGGAGCUUCGUGGUGGAGUAGUGGGAGGGGAAGACGGCGAUUUGGCGAGGCUUCGACUUAAAGCACUUCUGGAAGACAAAUCAAGACCGGAAAAUGAGAAUGAAAACUUGACUAGGGAAAACCAGCUACCAGAAUCAGCUAGUGGAGUACCCUCGCUUAACAGAUCCGAAAUCCAAUGAAAAUAAGAGUGUGUAUGCUGAACGCUGCAAAGGAACUAGAUGGAUAAUGUCAGCUUGCUAUCCAAUUUUUUUCUUAUUCAUGAAAUUAAGAGGUACAAGGACUAUUGGAGUGAUCAGCAAAGUAUAUCAAUCAUCAGUAUGAAUCUAACUGGAAAAAGUCUAGUAAUCAAGAUAACAAGUAUAUUUCUGUCUAAGACUGUCCCUGAAAGAUUCAUACUGAUGAUUGAU